AUUGAACGCUGGCGGCAGGCCUAACACAUGCAAGUCGAGCGGCAGCGGGAAAGUAGCUUGCUACUUUUGCCGGCGAGCGGCGGACGGGUGAGUAAUGCCUGGGAAAUUGCCCAGUCGAGGGGGAUAACAGUUGGAAACGACUGCUAAUACCCCAUACGCCCUACGGGGGAAAGCAGGGGACCUUCGGGCCUUGCGCGAUUGGAUAUGCCCAGGUGGGAUUAGCUAGUUGGUGAGGUAAUGGCUCACCAAGGCGACGAUCCCUAGCUGGUCUGAGAGGAUGAUCAGCCACACUGGGACUGAGACACGGUCCAGACUCCUACAGGAGGCAGCAGUGGGGAAUAUUGCACAAUGGGGGAAACCCCGAUGCAGCCUUGCCGCGUGUGUGAAGAAGGCCUUCGGGUUGUAAAGCACUUUCAGCGAGGAGGAAAGGUUGAUGCCUAAUACGUAUCAACUGUGACGUUACUCGCAGAAGAAGCACCGGCUAACUCCGUGCCAGCCGCCGCCGUAA
rnacentral:rRNA from 1 species